CUAUAUUAGAUAAAAUACACAAUAUUGUACAAUGCAUAAUAUGUAUUCUAUCUAAUAUCAGGAAAUAAUAUGAAGUGUAAUAUGACAUCAUAUAUGAUGUGCACUAGUCCAAAUGUUUAGCUUGAAUCCAUUAGGCAUUCAGAUAUUAUGACUAAUUUGCAGGAAACAUCAGGCAUAGAAGAAUAAAUUCAAUAACUCCUUGAGGAAGCAACCAUUCAAAUUCAGGAUUUUUGCACUUCAGUUGACCAGAUUUCUGCAAUGAGACAGUGCCUUUAAUUAAUCACUCAGUCAAUCAAUUAAUUAAUUUUCUGGAUACCAGGGAUUGAACCCGGGGUGCUUAACCACUGAACCACAUCCCCAAUUUCUCUCCCCCUUUUUGUAUAUUUUAUUUUGAAGUAGGAUCUCCUUAAAUUGCUUAGGGUCUUGCUAGAUUGCUGAGACUGGCUUAGACCUUGCCAUUCUCCUGUCUCAGCCCUCCAAGCUACUAGGAUUAUAGGAAUGUGCCACCAUGCCUGGCUCAGUAUCUUGAUUUUUUAAGUGUCACAUUUUAAAAAGGUUAAGGGCAGUAACUAGAUACAAUGUGUGGAUUGGAAACUGGGAAUGGUCAAUAGAAUAUUUACUUGUAGUUAGUUAGGUAUUACAUGAAGGGAAAUUUUCCUGAAAUAUUACUGAUUUGAGAUGGCCAGCUGUAAAGAAAAUGUGUGAUUCACGAAUUAGAGAAAAAUUUACUCAAAUUAGAAGAUAUUGUGUAUCAAAUAAAGCAGAUUACUAAACUGGUUUCUUUAAAAAAUGUAUAGACACAACAGGAUGUGCAUGGAAAAUACUGAUUGGUAGUGGAAUUUAAUGUUAUUUUAGCUUGUCUCUAUUUUCUAUUUCUUGGCAAGGCAUAUUACAUUGAGUAUGUAAGAAAAUUUUAUUUAAGCAAAUUAUAUUAAGAUUUACUUGUAUGUUUGCAGUAUACAUUUGAAUUAAGAAAUACAGAGGCUG
rnacentral:lncRNA from 1 species